ensembl:lncRNA LOC103695230 uncharacterized LOC103695230
GAACUCUGCUGUGUACUGCUGGGAUGGGAUUGGUCUCCCUGAACCCUUUGUGUACACUUAGUCUCGGGCUGGAAUAGCGUCACCCGAGAGCCGCUGCAGCUCUGAUGAGGCCCUCCUUUAUACUAAAGAAUGAUCCUUUGACUCCAACUCGCCUUCCUUCUAAGAACCACGACUUCUAAAAUAUGGAGGUGAGACAAGAGUACGCACCCAACAGGGUAACCUAAUGUUGGAAUAUUGAGGCUUCAGCAUGAGUCCUAAAUAGAGCUGUCUGUCUGUCCGCAGCCACAUUCCCAAUCCCUGGAGCUGACUUCUGGAGCCAACAUUUUACCCUCUGCUUCUGUGCUGAGGGCCACAACACCAUUCAUUUUACCACCACCAUGAACCACAGAGUCUGGAAUUCAGGCCAACUGGAGGUUCUAAAGGAUUACAAAACUGAAAUGAAGAAAUUCACAUCUUCAGCAGCAAGGCCUAAAGCCAGAGGCGGCUUUCCCAUUGCUCAACUGCCUUGAAAGCAUUGUGGAAAGACAGCUAUGUGCACACGGCUUUCGACACAACUUCUGGGGUGAAGUAAACCUGAUAGCUGAG